GGAAGUUUGACAUUCCUGACGGAUACAUAAAAUUAUUGUACUAAUGUUUUUGCACGAACGAAACACAAACUACAUGAUCUAUGAAAGAAUUGGAAGAUAAACCGGAAAAUGAUUCCAAAGUUGCACGGAAGUACAAUGUUACAUUCAUACGAGAGGAGACCAGUACGUCCCAAGACUCACGAGAGGAAGAGGCAGCCGGGCGAGAGCGCAGCUCUCACUUGUGGUGGCUGCCCGUAGUGGGGUUGGGAGGUACUGCCCUCGCCUUCGCCGUGCUCUUGUACAAGUUCCUGGGUCAAGUGCCCGCCAACAGAACUCGCAUUGCGGGACACAAUAGUACGCGUUGAGCGACACUGACAGUUGUCAAAUUGUAUAGAAGUGUCUGUGGUAUCUGUUUAC